rnacentral:lncRNA from 1 species
UCUGAUAGCGUUCUUUCCACACCUGUGGCCCCUCAUUCCUGUAGACAGCCAUGGCACUGCCAAUCACUUCAAGAGCUAAAGGGAGCCCCUCACAUUUGCUAGCUAUUCUCUCGGCAACUUUCACAAUGUCCGGAUCACUAGGUAGUGAAUCAUAAAAGGCAAACUUCCAAAACAUCUUUUUGCUCUCGGCCUCUGAUAGCUCAUGCACAGGAAAUGCCUUUGCACCCAGCAUGCUCAAAAUGCCUUCCUUUCUGGUUGUUACCAGCACCCGGCUGUAAGAGGACGGCCCUGCUAUAAAAUCCAGUCCCUUGGCCCAGCUCAUGUCCCACACAUCAUCCAGUAUCAGCAAGACACAAAUUCCACGAGCAACAUUUUGUGCCAAGUGCUGCACAUGCUCAAGGGUGCCUGCAUUUUGGGCCCUCUCUUUCAUGCCGCCCCAUUCAAGAGUGUUGAGGAGCUGGGCCCUGAGAUCGUCCUCCGAUGCAUCUUUCUUGACAGUGAUCCACACAAUGUUGUCAUGGAAAUGCUGCCGGACCCUCUCGUCAUUGUGCACGAAGCUUGCAAGGGUGGUCUUGCCACACCCUCCCAUUCCCAGGAGUCCAAACCAUUUCCCCGGGGCUUGUGGAUCCAGGAGGGCAUUCACCACCUCAUCCAGCUGCUCCCCAUGGCGGCCAAACAUGUCGCUGGGCUCGGGACCACCACGCCGUACAUAGUUUACGAGACCUCUGUCUUGUGGACAACUCCGUACGGAAAAGCUGGUGCUCGGCUGUAUCACUCUCAACUCUUCUCGCUCGUACCUUUCAAUCUGCGGGAGGAGAUCGUCCUCGCAAGUGCGUACCAGCUCCGAAAUCGCGCCAGAUCGCUUCUCCCUGCGCGACAGAUCCAUCUUUUAGCUCCAUUGCUUCAAACAUGAAUUCGAAUAAGCCUUACUGUGAUCCAAGCAGCGCUUGCGCCUUCUUAGUCCAUUCAGUCAGUUCAGUCAGCCACGCCUCAGCCUCACCAGAGUAGCGGAAGUCUGGAUUCCUGUGCUUGGGAGCAUUAAACUUGUCAAGCGUGGCCUGGAUUCUGGAUGCCCUCUUCUUUAGCUCCUCAACGUGGACAUUCAGCUCAUGCUCGUGACCUUGGAUCUGCGACAGGAGAUCGUCAUAGGCACUUAAGGACUUCGCGAUCUCGUCACUCCGCUUGUACCUAUAGGAAGUGGAGAAGUUCAACCAGCUGCCUGCUAUUUCUAAACACACACACACACACACACACACACACACAAAAGAUAAAAUGCUACUGUACCGACCGCUUUAUGGGGCUCCAGAUCCUGUUGUCGCGUGAUCCCAAGAGUGCUUGUGCCUUGGUGUUCCAUUCCCUGACACGCUCCAAGCAUUCCUCGGCCGCUUCAGAGAACGUGAAGCCAGAAUUCUGCUGCUUGUGAUCGCUGAAAGCGUUGAUCUUGGCCUGGAUGUGGUGCGCCUUGUUCUCCAGCGUGUCAAUGUUGGCAUUGCAGUCCCAUAUCUUCUUAGCAGGGCCCAGAGCCAAGCCACACAAGGCGCCUGCCAAGGAGCCCACAACCUCCAUGCCUGUAAACCUACAAGUAAAGGUUCCCAGAAAGAAGCGCAAUAUUAACUCUUGACCUUGUAGAUCGGACUUUUUUCACAGCUGUGACUCACUCACUCUAAGAGAUUCACAGUGAGCACCGCAACGAUCGCUACAUCGCUUGAGAAACACCUCUAUUUGUACAAACAGACAAACGUGGAGCACGUAAAGUCUUUGGCCUAAAACGGGCAUCUUAAAGAUGCGACACGUCGUCUUUUCUCUUGUACGGCGUUGAUCCAGGCGUACGGAAAUAGAGGGCUCCUCUGCCUAUCUUUGAUGGGAUCCGGGCGAUCUUGUCACCGACGUCUUGAAAGAUCUUAGAUUCUAUCCGCAAUCGCCCAGUCAAUGCGAUCCUGGCGAUGGGUGCUCCAUAUCAUUCUAUUCCCGCCCGGACGUGAUCUCCAGGAUUUGCGAAGAAGAAGGUCGUCGAUCAGAUGCGCGAUGCUGGCGCGCAAUUGAUUGGGGCUUCCCGCUACAUUUUCCCGCGCUAUCGUCUCUACUUCUCCAUUCUAGGGUUCUUUCUUGGAGGCGACGUAGGUUUUCUAUUGCCCGCGUGGUCGAGGAGACGGCGCUGGGGGGCGGCCUUGAUCGGCGUUCUGGAGCUGCACAGGUAAUGGGGCUCGACACUCCGGGUUUUAGAAAUAGGAAGAGGCUCCAGCUUAAGGCUCCGACGAGCAGUGCCAAGGCGAGGAGCCCCAGCCAGCGUUGGUAAAUCGUGGACGACAGGGAGCUCUAGAUCUACGGUGACAACAAAGGCCCCUACGGCAAAAUGUUCCAUCGGCAGUGGAUCGCCAAAAACUCCCGCAAAAGCUGAGGCUUCUAGGACAGCAAAAAUUGCCGAGGUGAUUGUUGAUAGUGGAGCAGAGGAUUUAGAUGAUUCGGGAGUAGAAAGUGGAGCAAUCGAUGGUGGGGAAGAAGAGGUAAACAAGAUUAAGACUGGAGGAGGAAACGAUGCCGAGGUGGAAAGAACAACAGUGGUCGAGAGCUCCAUUGAGACUGUCUGGAAACAUGGCGAGGCUGUUUCUAGCGCCUUAGCUGGACUUUCAAUCAGAGGUAGUGCCUUGACCCACGGUAAUCCCGUUAAGAUGGAAGCUGGUUGUGGUUCCGUGAAAGCUGAAGCGUCGGUUUCGAUCGCAGCUGGAUGUGAUCCUAUGAAAGUAGAUGGGUUGGUGAAGAUGGAAGCUGGUUUUGAGUCUGCAAGAGUCGAAGCUCCGGUUGGCUCGGUGAAGAUGGAACCUGGUUAUGAUACUGUGAAAGUUGAAACUCCAUUCAGGGGUGGUAAAGCUGCCCAUUUGUCUGAAGCGAAGGUGGUUCCAAUAGAAAAUGACACGGCUAAAGCUGCAGAGAAGCAACCAGUUGUUUUAGAUGCAGAGAGGUGGUGGCUUCUCCAAGGGACUGAAGCUGCCGGGGACUCGACGUCCAGGGGAUGCCGGAUUCGUGUUGGCGAGUUCGUGUCCUUCAAUUUUCCCAAGCCUGAAGCCGAAAGUAAGAAGAAGUUCUUUGAGCACAAGAAGGUUCGGCCGAAAGCGAGCUCCGACAUUGUAAGGUUCUUGACAAAAGCUUCAGGAGAGGUACGUUUCACUUGACUUGUUUCUUCGUUUUAAUUCUAACCAUUUGCUCACAGAUAGGACGGCUUCCAGCCGACUGGGCCAAGUGUUUGAUACCUUUGGGAAGUGCAAAAUGGCACCAGAGGCUCUUUCUCUUAUGAGCAGCGUAGUUCUCCAUUUGAGGUUGAGUUUUCUGUGUUUACCAGAGACGUUACGUAUAUGAUGUGCUUGCAGAGUUUAUAUCAACAAGUCAGAAGCCUUACGAGGAGGGGGAUGAGCGCGGAUUGAAGCUUCUGCAAGCUAUCUUGAAGCCGUUAAUGCUUCGAAGAAUAAAAGAUUCAACUGAUAAAGAAGGAAGGUAAGCUAUCAUGCAGGCGUUCCUGUACGAAAUAGGAACUCAUAACUGUACCAACAAGUAAUCGGUUUCGAAUAAAUGUCGAGGAGCAGUGGAAGGAGUCGUCCAAAGUCGAGGCUCUGCUGCACCACCUCCAGACGUUAAGUGAGGCCGGGUCGAAAAGCGUUGAUUUUAGUCAGUGGACAGCGUUUCUCGACUUGUUAGAGAUACCAUUGAAAAGGUAUGAGCGUCUUUCCUUUUGGUGCUUUCUCUUUGUUUGUGUUUCUAACAAUGCACUGCCAGGAAGACCUUCUGUUUCGUCCGCUUGGACGGAACACUAUCGCAGCGUCAGCGAGAACAAGUGCUCAAAAACUUCAGCAAUAUUCCAGCCGUGGCCGUAAGCUUUUUGUGUUGCUUACCUCCAAGAAACCACUCUAUUUUGUGGACAGGUCAUGCUCUCAUGCUUUUCUCAUGGUACGCGCUAUAGUUUUCUUUUUUAGCCAUCUUCCGAGUCGAGAAUGUGGACGAUCGAGCAUCGGUCAGACGAAGAACGUAUCGAUCAAGCGAUUCAUCGUCAAAGUAAGCGCCACUUGAAACUCUCUUUGACGUUUCUCAUGUCUCUAGAGGAGGAGAGAGUGCAACAGGUCCAAGCGAGGAAGCAGCGAUUGAUCGGGGGCUCUCACAGACGAAGAGGUGCGAAGCGCUCGAAUCGCGGAGCUCAAAAUGCUAUUUAGAUGAGAAAAACUGGAGUCCUUCGCAGUUUUUUUAACUUAUUAUAUCAGUAUACAUAGUUAAAGAGGGGAAUAUGCUUCUAGCAUCGGCGCGUAUAUUCUUCGGAUAGUUUACUGAAUGAAUGUGUCAUAGGCUAUCGAUAUAGGAGCUAUGGCUCAUUUCUAGGUUUCUUCGACAGCGAAGGAGCAGGCGAUCGCGUCGCAAGCGGCGACGAGCAAGGUAUGCAUGCUAAGAUCGCCUCGAGAAGCAGCAGCAGCGCCGGCGCCGGCGCCGCGCCGCGAUUUCGCUGGCCUAGAGCCGGAGUAGCCGAGCUAGAUUCAUGCAAGCAUAUGAUCUCUAGGAAAUUGAGCUGAACGCUGAGGCUUUGCAGGCGAUCGCGUCGAUUCCUCUCGUCUCCGCGGCCGGGGCGGCUAGAAAGCCGGGGCGCAUUCUAGAGUUUCGGGGUUUCUGGGGCGAUCAGUCAUGUAGCGGGCAGUGAUUCUCUCACAGGGAGCUCAGCCAUGACGUGGAAUCCGCCACAAGUUCCUCCCAGCUUGUCCGCCUCGACUGCCACUACUCAGGCCGAGGAUGAACUGGGCGUGGAUGUGUCGUCUCCCAGCGGCGAUUUGCUACUCCAUAUUCUCAACAGCGGUGGGGGCGACGAGCAGCUGAGGAGCAGUAGCAGCUACAGGACCCAGCAGUCGCAGCUCACGGUCCCUGCCACAGCUUUGCUCCUUCUGGAGCACCUGGAGGAGGAGGAGAAGGUCCUCCUCCACGACCACUCUACGUCCCAGCAAUAAGAUUUGGUGGGUGGUCACCUCACUUCCAGGAGCACCAAGACCCACUUUUCCCUUCGGAUCCAUUCUUGACUCCGUCGGACCACUGAUUUCUACGCUCGUUUGCUCCUCUUCCAGUCGAGAGACCGUUCCAUCCGCCAGUGCCGUAUCCUUUUCCAAAUGCUCCGACUUUCCAGCCUGCUGAUAAUGUGGUUCAUCCGCCGCAUUCCUCUGGGGAGCUUAAACCUCGUCCUGGCCUUCACUUCGGGUCUCCGGUGUUUGGACCCAGCGCAGCAGAGACCUCGGACUCCAAACGCGCCCCAGAGCAGCCGAGGAGAUCGGUUACACCUGCGAAGGAUGACAAGCAACAAUUCCACGGCAAUGGUUCCGAGCUCCUUCAGUUGUUACAGGGUGGUCCUGGUCGUGUGAAGCCCAGCCUCCACAAAGGUGGAUGCUACACAGGACAGUGGGGAUUCUGGAGAGCCAUCACAGAAAGGAAGUCCAUCUGCUGUUCACGGCCCCAUAGGACCGCCGAGGCGUCAUGUCGUUUCUCCUCCGCAGAGUCCAAAUGACCUCCUUGGACGUUUGUGGGCUGCUCUUCCGUCGUCAAGCCACACUUUGUUUGACGGAGAAAGCGAACGCAAGACGUCAGCCCGGAGCUUUGGCGUUGAAGCGAACGAGAUGUCCCGGGAAGUCGAUGGAGGUGGAGCUGCUGGUUUCGCACUUUUGAAGCGAAGGGGAUCGGAGCCUGCCGCCUCGCACUACCUUUAAACGGCUACGACUAUAACGACUCUAAGAAAAUGAUAAGCCGAGGACAAACUCGGCAUCCGGACGACUACAGGACUAUCGUGGGAGAUACGUAAAUGGAGAGGCCGAAUUUGAGGCCGGAGGCGAUGACUUUAGAGGUGCGGGAAGGCGUCGAGGUACCGGUCGUGCAGACGCCAGACGCGGUGGUCGGGGUGCUGUUGGCCAGUGGAUUGCGGUAAAUGAGAGGCAUAAAGAUGCUGAGCCAAGUGACAUCACCUCCUGCGAUAUCUCUGAUGGAAGGGACGAGUCGCUUAAAUCUUCAAACGGGACUUAGUCGAAUGCUAGGAGAAAACAUCAACAGGAAUGGAGGAUAAAACAGGCCGACUCAAAGGCAGCAUUUCCAGCGGAGAAAAAACCGGACUACAAGGUUGCGAAGGCACGGUCUUUGGCAUCUCAACUUGAACGUCCAGGCUUGCCAUCGGGAAGUACGCAGAACUCUUCCGUUGGUGCGGCUUUUGAGGAGUCCAAACAGAGGCUCCAUAAUCUAGAUGCUUUGGAAGGAGAAGGCGUGACGACCUCUCUAGAUCUCGAGGAGCUACAAAUUGACGGUCACCGUCGUCAGGGUAAAGCUCCACAGUUUUACAAGGUUUGUGCUUGCUUUUUCUCUUUCUUUAUUUUCAUGUGUUUGUAUCUCUGGUUACAGCCGAAGGAGAACCGUUUCAGGGAGUCCAGACGCGUCAUUCCCAUGCACAGACGUGAUCUUCUUUACCGACUGGAUCUGCAGAAUUUCACUUGUGAGCUUUUCUGCCUCUACGACGAGCUUAUACCAACCGGAGGUCCGGAGAAGGAAGUACUUCUCGAAGCUUGAGUCCCUUUUCGAGAGGGAGAUCCCGGGAACACGGCUCUUUCUUUUCGGAUCUUGUGUUAAUGCGUUUGGAGUUUGUAACAGUGACAUCGAUGUUUGCCUCUCCGUUGAUGAGGAAGAACCAAACAAGAUCGAGCUUGUUGUUCAAAUGGCAACUAUCCUCGAGUCAGAUGCCAUGUUAAACGUACAGGAGGCAUAGGACAACGUGACUCAUGGUACCCGCUAUAGUUUCUUAUCCGAAUAUUUAACCAUCCUCCGAUCCAGAGAACUUUCCUUUCAUUGUUCUUGGCAACAAGGUCGAUGUUGACGGAGGGAACAGUAGAGUGGUGAGCUCUUUUGUUUGAUCUCUCUCGCCUUACUUUAAAGCUUGUGUGUCCAGGUUUCCCACAAGAAAGCCAAGCCUGGUGUGCUUCCAAGGGAAACAUUCCAUACUUUGAGGCGUCUGCCAAGGAAGACUACAAUGUGGAGGCUGCGAUUCAAUGCAUUGCCAAGAAUGCCUUAACCGAGGAAGACUUGUAAGUUUUGCUUGUUUCUUCUUGUGAUGUUUCAAGCUCACAUUUAACUUCUGGCAGCAGCUAUCUUCCAGACACGAUGGACAAUAAAAUACUCAAAACCACGAGAGUAAAGUAAUAUCCUGAGAAUACGAUUUGUAAGAAAAAAAGAAAAUGUUUCUUCUCCUAACGCUGCUGACGCUGUGAAAUCUCUGUUUUCGUUUUUUGAUGUUCUGCUUGUGAUGCAAAAUGGUGUAGCAUUUGCGCAGAUCUUCGAAAACCAAUCGAUGUCCACUGAAGGAGCAAGGUUUAUUAGGCCUCGAAGGUUAUAUGGACAUCCGGCCGCUCCUCAAGCCAUGGUGGAACUUUCGUACCGUUUGGGCAGCGUAGGACUUUGAGCCUGGGAAAUAAGCCAAGGCCGUGAUUGUCUGAACUCAAUUGGGGCCACACUACAUCAUCAUGCCCAGAGAGCUCAAGUUCCUCCAAUCCUGGAAGGGAUGCAAUGGAUGAUGGAAUAUUUUCGAUCCUACCCAAGGUUACACCUCUUAGAGCAGUCAUCUGGUCUGUUGGCUCAAAGAAAUCAUUGGGGAGCUGCUUAAUAAUAGUCUCCCUCGCGAAUAAUUCGACCUGUUUCACCUUCAGCUGUGAUCUCUCAGUUGGCAUCAAGAGUCUCCUCAUGUAACCUUCUACAUCCAGUUCAUCAAGGUCUUUGGGGUGUUGUGUCACAAAGAGAGGCAAAUGCUCCCAUGUAUUAUCAGGAGCCAGCUUGAAUGUUAAAAGCUGCAGGUUUGGAAGACUUGCUGCCAAAUCGUCCUUGAACUCCGACUGUGCAAUGUGUAGAUUUUCAAGGCCCAGAACUUCAAGGCAUGGGAACGAUCCAUCUAAACUGAAGAACUGGAUACCACUGCAGUCUAGGUGAAGUUGUCGUAGCCGUUGAAAGCCCUUUAGCCAAGACAGGUCUUUCAUUGUCUCAUUGUUUGUGAUGGUUAAAAAUUGUAGCUGUGGCCAUUCAAGGCUUUCGGCAUUGUUUUCACCGUCUUGUACCCUGUCAAUCGAAAAGUGCCGAAGCUGUUUGGAAUUCUUAAACAUUCGCUUCCAGUCAAGUUUGAUAGUCGAUUCCACCCUAAUAUCACAUCGUUUCAGAUUGACAAGUUGCCAUAGGCUGGUGAAAUCGCCAAAGUCCAUGCUCUUUGCCCACAACUCCAGUGUCUCAAUGUCCUCUAGUGCACCAAGGCCGUGAGGUAUUUUUAUUGUUGCCUUGUGGAGGCCUAGCUCUAAAUGUCUUAGCUUGUGUAGGCUUGAAAUUCCACUCAAAUCCACAGCUAACUCCUCAAAGGAAUAAAGCUCCAGCUCUUCCAAGUUGAAUAAUUGGGGCACUAAUCCAAAGUUGAGAUUUCUGGUAGCCUUGCAUUUCAAAACCUUCAGUGAUGUCAAGCUGAAGAGCGCAUCUGGUACAAGGCACAUCUCUCGAAGGUCAAGCACUUGAAGGUUUCUCAGCUUGGAUAUGCUCUCUGGAAUAAAACGGACCUGAUCAGAGCAGUGAAGCAAGCUCAAUACCUUGACAUUUUGGAUGUGAUCUAUAAUAAGACUGACAUCCACACCAGAAAUUUUAUGACAUCCAUCGAGAAGCAAGACAUCUCGCACAUGAAUGUCAGACAAAAGGCUGCUUGUAACCUUCUUUCCAAUGAAUGAAACUUUAGAAAAUGUUGGAGAAAUCCCAGGUGGACAAUCAUAGCCAAACAGGCAUCCCUUCUCGUGCUCUUCCUGGGGCGGGUACUUCCCUUUCAAGAUUCUUAUGCACAGCUUGCGUACCAUAUCGUGCACAGUUACAUACUUAACCCAUCGAAAAUCAGUUGUCUUCACUAGGCAUCUUCGUUCCAGUUCACUAACAAUCUGCAGAGGCGAGAGUUCUGACCCAACCGCUAUCCAACAUUUUCUCAGAUCAUCAAAGUUGAUGUUCCAAUCUUCUUGAAACGCAGCCACAUAGAGAAAGCACUCUUGCAGCUUUUCAUCCUUAUUAAACCGUCCCAGCUCGUCAUAGCUAAACUUCAAGCGCUGGAACAUCCGCUUCUCAAUGUCCCCGUCAUUCAACAAAUGCAUCUUCUGAUAGCGUUCUUCCCACACCUGUGGCCCCGCAUUCCUGUAGACAGCCAUGGCACUGCCAAUCACUUCAAGAGCUAAAGGGAGCCCCUCACAUUUGCUAGCUAUUCUCUUGGCAACUUUCACAAUGUCCGGAUCACUAGGUAGUGAAUCACGAAAGGCAAACUUCCAAAACAUCUUUUCGCUCUCGGCCUUUGAUAGCUUACACACACGAAAUGUUUUUGCACCCAGCAUGCUCAAAAUGUCUUCCUUUCUGGUUGUUACCAG